GAACAGGGGUGGCUUCUGAGCUAGUUUCUUUCUCCUUUUAUUUUUUUUUUUUUUUCUCUGUAUACUGCUAUCCUUCUUGGCUGAAGCCUGUGUUUUUUUGAAGGAGUAUCUAACUAUGAGAUCUGAAGUGCUUCCUGCCUCUGCAGAUAUAGGACUAAUUUUCAGACCCUUUUGUUAUCAUUAAAGGCAAAUACUGGCCUGGGUGGAGAGGUGUGUAGAAUAACCUUGUGGCUGCAGGUGAACAUAGUCUUCAUGGUGAUAGUCCAGGUGAAAUGAGGCAUGGAGCUGAUCAGCUGUUUUUAAACUGGAAGGCGGUAACACUUAUUUUAGCACAAUCUGAAGGAGCUCACAGAUUUUCAGAUGUCCUUGUCAAAAGCAGCUAUUACUAUUGUCUAUCCUAAAAGCGUCUGGAAUAAUUUUCAAAGUGAAAAUAUGUCAAGAGAUUGCUGAGCUCUUCAGCCCUGCUGAGUAGCUGUAUCACAUCAGUACCCAUAGAUCUUUCUCCCAUUUGAGUAGGUCAUUUAUAUCUUGCAGCAUCAGAAAGCCUGUCCAUCUAGACAACAAAGGCUGCAUAAAAAUAAAAAAGAAUGCCUGACUUCUUGCAAGGUGAUCUCGGAGGCCUGUGGUAUGUGGGAAUAUACAGUAUGUCAUGUGGUUUAACUGGGAGACUCUUUAUACCUCCUAGCCCAAACUAUGUUGUUUUUUUUUUUUCCAGCUACUCUCAGAUUCUCUGUAAAGCACUGAAAUUCACAGAUGUUGAAUAACUUGGGCUUCUGAAAGUGACAAGGUGUGGAUUUAUGUUGUGACUGCUGUUACACUUCACAGAAGCAAAAUAUCAGUAUCUAAUAUGUGGGUAUUGAAUCAUGGCAGUGGUGAAUUUAUUUCCUUGUAGCUGCUCUUGAAUUCUUUUUGUUAGUACCCAAUACACUGCAAAAAAUGCUGGAAGGCAAAAGUUGUGCUGGAGCACAGCACUGCUGCAUGAAGGUUUUGUUACACUAUAUGUUCAGGAGAAAAUAUCCAUAGUGACUCUUUUUCUUUGAUGUAUUUGUUGUAAGUAAGCCAUGUGUAAUAGUGAACUUCUGGAAGGUUGGGCUGCUGAAAUGCUUCCACAUUCCAACUGAUUAGGCCAAUUAAAAGAAAUAUGUGUAUUAAUGUGACUCUUACUGCUUCUGUUUCAAACUUUAUUCCUCUUAAAUGUUGACCCCAUUCUGAAGGUAUCAAGUGUGUCUAAAAGCUGUCUUUUUGAGCUUAAUUACAGAAAAACUAGAAUUUAAAUCUUACUGCUGAUGAGAACUUUUGUGCUGUUUGAUGGGACAUACAGAGGGCAACAGGUACAGCCUGAGUGAGAUUCUGGAGAGAACAAGUGAAGCCCCAGGUGUGAUGGAAUUGGUGAUGAUCUGACAAUGCCAUGAAAAAUAAAAUCUUCUGUGUAUUUGUCAAGCCAAAACAUCACCUGGUGGGGAAUUUGGAAAAAAUUCUUUACAAUUCACUCCCAACAGUGAGUUGGAUGUUGAAUUUUAUGACAGUUGAAAAAAUGACAGAUUGAUUGGUAAAGCAUAGAGUGGCUGUUCAGGAAGAGUGAUGAGGAGAAAUCAAGAAAACAACCAAGAACAAAUCAAGUGAAGCAGGCACAAUCAAUCAGCUGCUGGAGUAAGAAGCUGUAGGAGAAGGGCAGAGCAUCUGAGCUGGCAGCCAUUCACAAACACACUCAGUACUCAACUGGAGAUUAUGGGUGUUCAAUACUGUACAAGUUUUUGUAUUGGCUAUUAGGAAAAAUUAAGUGUACAAUGUAAAACUUUCACAGAGCCCAUUUCUAAAUGUGAAUGGCUCACUGCAAGGUGUUGGGGAAUUCCAGUUAGACAUACAUUUUUGUUACAUGGAAGUCUAAUGGCAGAUUAUUAAAAAGUCUGCAUGUGGAAUAAUGCAAACUGAAAUGACCUAAGAGGUUAAUUUUGGGAAGGAAGCAAUCUCACUGCUGGGAUACUUCAUGGGUGCUCUUUAUUGGCAAAUUGGAAGAACAUACUUUAGUUUGUGGAAGAAAGUUUUUCCCUACUGCUCUUCUACCCUUUGAUAGAAGUUGUGUUCAGAACUAAAUUCUGAAGAAAACUAGCAAAGCUUGGAAGAAGUUCAGUGUUUUGGUGAGGAUGGAAGUCUUUGUAACAGAGCAACAUGAGGGAUGCACAUCUAUGUAAAGGCUCCUGAGGAGUAAAGUUACUGAAUACUGAAUGGCAGCUGGCAAGGGCUUUCUCUCUUUGUUGGUAGCAAAGCUAUUAAAAAUAUUUGGAAGUUCAAAGAGGCAGUAUCUUUUAAAAUGCUCUGCUGUGAGUAAAAAAAAAAAAAAAAGGAACCGAAAAACUACAUUUUUUGUGGGUCUCCUCAUAUGGACACGACUAGCCAUAAGAAAUUAGGUUGGUGUAUGUUGGCUUGGAAUUUGGUCUGUUUGUGUUAAGUCUUCAUUUUAGGAAGACGGUGGCACAAAGUGGAAUGCAAAGACUAAGCUUGGUGCCCACUUUUCUGCACUAAGGGAAGCAAUCUGAUGUGGGUAUAGUAAUUUCCAGAAGGGCUAUGCUGUCAACACCCCUGAUUUUUGGUGUGCUGCUUGCCAGCCUGCACAAGAGGAUCUCUGAGAUGAAGUGUUUCAGCAGUGGAAGGAAAAGGGACAGUUAGUGACAAAUGGCCCUCCUUAAUGUCAAGAGGGGAUGGUAGGAAGACAAAACUUUGGUUCUUGAAGUAGUCCAGUAAAUAUAAGCUUUCUCUGCUUUAAGUAUUUAUUAAGGAAAUGAGGAGUUGUCCACUUUGGAAACAAAGAAUGAGCUUGCUGUAGAGGGCUGGAUAGUGUGAAUAUCCUGUAAUGUAUCAUUCUCCCCACUUUUUAUCCUUCAGAUAGACCAAAAGCACAUACAUCUCAUCUGUUUCCUCAUGUACUUUGAAACAGAGUGUCUUCCUGACAACAUGUGAAUAAUGAACUUGUUUUAUGAAGUUCUGGAAUUUAUAUCCCUUUGUUUCAAUGCUAUUUAUUACAUGGCACUUUCUUAGGCACUCAUCUUGUACAGCAACAGGCGCUAAUGUUGCUCUGUGAAUUAAAUGCCACCAUGUAGACAACUAGAGUGUAUUUUGAAGUUAAAUACAUAUAUUAGCUUUUUGUUGGGUACACACUAAUUCCCAAAGAUAUUUUUAUUCUGCAGUGGUGAAUUUGAGAGAUGACUUCUGAAAACUUUUCUGGAAAGCUUUUUUAAAAAUUAGGGUCUUGGUAAUUUUGUUGUCAUUGAGUUUUGUGUGUCACUGGUAGAAAAACAUUUUGUUGUAUUAAUUGGAUAAUUCAGAAAAUGGAAUAAUUGAUAUUGUUUAACUCCAGGCAGCUGAUAGUCCUGCUGACUCUCACAGCCCCUGGAAUUCAUUGGUGUGACAGUGAUGCCAAGAAAACAGCAAAUUUAGGUGAUGGUUUAAAGAUCUUUACUAGUGGUAAGAACAGCUUUUCACAGGAUGAAGUUAAAAUGGAAGGAUGUGAUAACUAAGUUUAUUUUUAUUUAAGAUUAAACGACACAAAAGGUCUGCAGUCCUUUUAAACAAGUCUUGAAAUAUGUUUAGAUGUUUUGGCAGUCUCUGAAUCUUUUUAAUCUGCUAUUUUUAAAGAAAAUGAUAUGGCUUAAACUAUUCAAAUUGAUCUGAGGGUUUUACAUAUAAUCAUAAGGUUUGGAUUUAAUAAAAGCAUUGUUGUACUAUCAAUGUGUAGCUUUCUAAAUAUUCACAGUGGGUUGACACAAGAUUACAGAGACAAAGCACGUAGAUGAGCCAGUCCAAAUGCUGCAUGGUGAAAAGAAAAUGUGUAGUAAGACUGAGCUCUGACUAGCAUUUCUUGAGAUGGGUAACUAGCACAAGUAACUCUCCAGUAUCUCCAUGCAGCCUUGCUUGAUGUGAAUAUCUGUCCUGCAGGAACUAGGAGCCAAAGUGAUUAUUAUUAAACAGACUUUGGAAAGUGACACCACUACUAAGCUGCAGUGAAAUUCAGCCAGAUAUCUACAAUUAAGAAAUGGCAUCUCUCUAAACCAUUCAAUAUUAUCAGUGAUUUAUACAGAAAAGGAAAUUAUGUUCAACUACAACAUUGAGAUUGUUAGACCAGUUUGACAAUCCCAAGAUCUGUCGGUAAGAGCUGUGUGAAACCUGUGUGUUUCAAGACCAUUCCCCUGCCAAAGAUCCAAGUCCAUCAGUUUUCAUUGUGAUUUUUUUUUUUCUUACAAUGACUGUAGCAACUGUCUUUAUAACAGAUUCUUAGCUGAGUGGAAA